rnacentral:rRNA from 1 species
CCUACGGGUGGCAGCAGUGAGGAAUAUUGGUCAAGGGGCGCGAGCCUGAACCAGCCAAGCCGCGUGAGGGAAGAAGGUCCUAUGGAUUGUAAACCUCUUUUGUCGGGGAGCAAAAGAAGCCACGCGUGGCGUACCGAGAGUACACGAAGAAAAAGCAUCGGCUAACCCCGUGCCAGCAGCCGCGGUAAUACGGAGGAUGCGAGCGUUCUCCGGAUUUAUUGGGUGUAAAGGGUGCGCAGGCGGAAGAUCAAGUCAGCGGUAAAAUUGCGAGGCUCCACCGCUGCGAGCCGUUGAAACUGGGUUUCUUGAGUGUGUGAGCGGUAUGCGGAAUGCGUGGUGUAGCGGUGA